rnacentral:rRNA from 2 species
UAGCGGCGGACCCCUUAGUAAUGCCUAGGAAUCUGCCUGGUAGUGGGGGAUAACUCGGGGAAACUCGAGCUAAUACCGCAUACGUCCUACGGGAGAAAGCGGGGGAUCUUCGGACCUCGCGCUACCAGAUGAGCCUAGGUCGGAUUAGCUAGUUGGUGAGGUAAAGGCUCACCAAGGCGACAAUCCGUAGCUGGUCUGAGAGGAUGAUCAGCCACACUGGAACUGAGACACGGUCCAGACUCCUACGGGAGGCAGCAGUGGGGAAUAUUGGACAAUGGGCGAAAGCCUGAUCCAGCCAUGCCGCGUGUGUGAAGAAGGUCUUCGGAUUGUAAAGCACUUUAAGUUGGGAGGAAGGGCAGUAAGUUAAUACCUUGCUGUUUUGACGUUACCGACAGAAUAAGCACCGGCUAACUUCGUGCCAGCAGCCGCGGUAAUACGAAGGGUGCAAGCGUUAAUCGGAAUUACUGGGCGUAAAGCGCGCGUAGGUGGUUUGAUAAGUUGGAUGUGAAAGCCCCGGGCUCAACCUGGGAAUUGCAUCCAAAACUGUCUGACUAGAGUAUGGCAGAGGGUGGUGGAAUUUCCUGUGUAGCGCUGAAAUGCGUAAAUAU